AGUCGAGGGGUAACAGAAAAGCUUGCUUUUGCUGACGACCGGCGCACGGGUGCGUAACGCGUAUGCAACCUACCUCAUACUGGAGGAUAGCCCCUGAAAACGGGGAUUAAUACUCCAUAGUAUCACAAUUUCGCAUGUUAUUGUGAUUAAAGUUUUUCGGUAUGAGAUGGGCAUGCGUCCCAUUAGCUUGUUGGUGAGGUAACGGCUCACCAAGGCAACGAUGGGUAGGGGGCCUGAGAGGGUGGUCCCCCACACUGGUACUGAGACACGGACCAGACUCCUACGGGAGGCAGCAGUGAGGAAUAUUGGUCAAUGGAGGAAACUCUGAACCAGCCAUGCCGCGUGAAGGAUGACGGCCCUAUGGGUUGUAAACUUCUUUUAUAGAGGAAGAAACUUGUCUACGUGUAGACAACUGACGGUACUCUACGAAUAAGGAUCGGCUAACUCCGUGCCAGCAGCCGCGGUAAUACGGAGGAUCCAAGCGUUAUCCGGAUUCAUUGGGUUUAAAGGGUCCGUAGGCGGAUUUUUAAGUCAGUGGUGAAAGCCGACAGCUCAACUGUCGAACUGCCAUUGAUACUGGAAAUCUUGAGUACAAAUGAAGUAGGCGGAAUGAGUCAUGUAGCGGUGAAAUGCAUAGAUAUGACUCAGAACACCGAUUGCGAAGGCAGCUUACUAACAUGUAACUGACGCUGAGGGACGAAAGCGUGGGGAGCGAACAGGAUUAGAUACCCUGGUAGUCCACGCCGUAAACGAUCAUCACUCGCUGUUGGCGAUAUACUGUCAGCG
rnacentral:rRNA from 1 species